UCUCUUCUCCGCCGUAAGGGUUUCCAUCGAAUUUUCCAUCUUCUUCCUACCAAUCCAGAAAUCCAUCGGUUACCGAAGCUUUGUCUUGAACGCAAUCAUUGACAAAAGCUCUCCACCACUCUCACGAUCUGUCAUUAAAUGGAUCUCCGUUGCUUUAUCUUUGUGAAAUUCGAGUAUAAAAAGGCAAGCCUCAUGCAAGCCACCGUGUAAACAAGGAGGCGGGGCACGCCGCAUACAAGAAGGACGUCGAAACAGCUAUCAAGCAUUACUCCACAGCCAUAGAAAUUGACGAUGAAGAAAUCUCUUUGAUCACAAAUCGCCAUGCUAUUCAUCUGAAGAUGGAAAGUGUUCAGUUCGUGAAUCAGGAUGGUGAUGAAGCUGUGGCUCAAGAGGAUGAGAUGGUUGAAGAAGCCUGAGAUAGAGAAGAAACGAGAUUCGGGGCCGGAGUUUGAAAAACAGAAGGAGAAGAAGGAAAGGAAGCAUUAAGCUUUGAAGGAGAAAGAGAUGGAGAGACCGAAACAAGAAGAGGUGAAGCGUUUAAAGAGGGAGGCUGUCGAGGCAGAGAAGAAUAAGAAAAAGAGAGCACAAAGCAUCAAGUUGCAGAGCGGAAAGCUGCUAGACUGAGUAUGAGACAAGAGAAGGCACUUCCUCUUGACGGGUUCUGAGAAAUGACAUGAUGCUACACAUAUAAGUACUCCUUUCUUUGCAACUCAUAACUUAUACUUCGCUCAUUAAAGGUCAAACUAUUAGUUAGUCUAUGUGAUGGUAUAAAACUUUAAUUGUAUCACAAAUCUAUCUCUAUAGAUUUAGGAGUCAGCAGAAGUUGUUUGACCCUUUGUUGAUGGUAGAUGAAUUCUCUGGUAAGUUCUUUGAAGAAACAUAAAUGUAUAGACAUUACAUUUUAUAAAUUGAUGAAUUAGAAGACCUGUUUUAUGUAAUGUGUCUCAAACAUUUGUUGAAAAUAUAAUGUUCAGUUUUAGAAACCUUUAAAUUCCCAGCUCCUUUUCUGUCAGUGUGCUUUUUAGUCUCAUAAAUCAUAUUUUCUUGAACAUUCCCGUGUGAUACGAUACCAAGUUCGUUUUGUGAUUAUGGUGUUCAUUUUUUGCUCUCACUUGGCUUUUGUUUGUUUGUCUCAUCCAAGUAUUUGAUACUGAUUAAAGAUCAUGAUGUUGCUGUUGCAGAUGGCAUCAUGCUAAUAUGAUUAAGUUGAGAUUCUGGUGGACUACGUUUGAGUGGCGAAGCUGUUAUAGUUCCUAAUGGGAUAAGGUAAUUUCAUGUCUCGGUUGCAUCAACAGCUCUGACCUUUGUGGGGCCUCAAGUAUGGCCAGAGAUGUCUCUGGAUAGGCUUAGAGCAGAUGGGCUGAUUGCCAAGAACAUUUCUUUAAGAGACUCCGAGGAUGAGCUUGAAAUGCUUCUGGGUUAUUACUUUAUAUUUGUAAAUUAUAAGCCUUCCUGAACAUUACAGACAUACAAAUAUAAAGUAAUAACACACGUUUUAUACCAACAUACUAGAGAUGGAAGCUUGCAUCAAGGUAAAACGUUCAGGAAGGCUUAUAACACCAUCUGCAAACAAGCCAAGCUACGCCUCCUCACAAGGAGCCCUCUCCUUACUCUUAGAUGCUAUACACUAGAGAUGGAAGCUUGUCUCAAGGCUGGCAAUGCUGAGACACACUUAUAGAGGGAGUGAAGCAAUACUUUGCAUUGGAUCAGCCUAAAAAAGGCCUCAAACAUCUCAAGUUCUCCGCCAAGAACAACCAUGUUUUAGGUACAUAUCUCUAUGCUAUUCUGCUAAUGAUCACAUUGAAAACAUGAAGAAGGCAUGGCAUUUAUGGACCUCCUCAAUUGGCGUACAAACAUGUUAUCAGUCGACCGAUGUCCUGAUCGUGAAGAGGGCCAAGAGGCCAUCUUCUGGUACAAACAUGAUCCUUAUAAUGCCCCAAGAAUCUGCAUGCUCAAAGGAAAAGAAGAUAGGUGUAAUGUUUGUUAUUACUACAAGCAGAUGCAGAUGGUCUUGCAUAUGAUAACCUGACCAUUGCAUUCGCACUAUCCGAAGACCCGUUUACUUGACAAGUUUUAAAUUCUUGCAUCUUUUUUAUAAUUAUCUCAUUUUGUUGAACUUUUGAUAUUCCAGUAUCUAUGUUUAAUG